AUAUAGCUCACUGAACAAGCGUAGAAAAACUGAUCAACAGCAGUGCUACCAGUCGCCAGCCGUUCGUAUUUGGGUUAGAUAGGUUAGACGCGUAUUCAACGGAAAGCACGGAAAGUAACUUCUUGGAGGAACUUGACUUUGAUUUGGAUAUGGAUUUUUCAUCACCGGCUGACGUUAAACGAAUGAAUCUCCAAGAGGCUCAAAUAUCGUCGAUACAGAGAGACAUAGAGUCGUUGGAGUUUGUGGACCAAUGUAAAGAGUUCUCCAGCUGUCAGAAAAUAAAGGAACGCGAAUAGCUGUGAUGAACAUAAGUUUGACUGGACCUGUAGUAGCCGUAAUGCAGGCCAGCAAACCUCGAAUGUCAGUAUAAUAUCGGAUUGAAGCUUAGUACAUAAACACCUUAUAUGUUGUAGAUUGUAAAGCAGGUUCCAAAGGAAUCAGCGCGACAGCAAACAACAACAAACAACAACCAACAAUAACAACAGCUGAUAUUUCCUUCUUUCCUUUUUUGAUGACGAAUGUAAGGGAAUGUAUCAGUAAACGAGAUUACGAAAACUUUGUUUCUUAUCCUAGAACAGCGAUAUCAGUGGCACAAAGGCUGUGCGAAAAUAACAUUUCUUCUCGCAUGAUGAUUAAGAUGCAAAUGUGGAUACGAUUAGACUCAUUUUCUGUAAAAUUAAAAAAAUUUUCUAGUAA